AUCAUAUGAUGAAUUGCCAUGCUAAUACUGAGAAAGUUAAAGACUUUUACUGAGUUGAAUACUUCAAAUAUACCUGAUGUUG